UUGUGCGUCCAGGGCCGUAGCUAGAUGCGAUAAUUGGGGGUGGGGGUGGGUGUAUAUUCAUAUAUUCAUGUUCACAUACCGUAAAAACAAUUGCUUUCAAAAGAAAUCCGUCGGGCAGAACAUGAAUAUAUGAAUAUGCACCCCCCCCCUCCCCCAAUUAUCGUUCUAGCUACGGCCCUGUGUGCGUCAACGUGUAUAGCCCACUUUAAUUGAUCGUCGAUAAUAAAACCAAGAGAUUUUUUGCUGGUGAAACGUUUAAACGUUUAAUUAAUAUUAUUAUCUCCUAUG